AGUCAUCUUUAGGUGUUGACAUAUAACAUAAGAUUCCAAAAACAAUAACACCCUCCUCUCAAUUCAUCAUUCAUCUUCACCUCAUUUGUUUUUUCAGUUUAUUUAUAGGUGAAACUAGGGAUCUUGUUGGGCUGCUCAGUCGUUACAUCACACAUUAUUGUUUUAUUAGGGAACAAAGCCGAACUAUAGUAAGCUGCUUUUGUUUGAUCUUAGAACAUUGCAUUCUUCUCUCCAAAGAGUUCUUUGGCUAUCUACUCUGCCCUACUAAUGACUACUUCAAGGCGUGUAGCAGACAGGAAGGUUGCAAGGUUUGAAAGGAACAUUGCAAAGAGAUGUUCCGAAAACAAGAAAGGAAUCUUUCCUUAUCCAAUUCGCCACAUCUUGAUUGGUUUCCUUCUCUCCAUCCUCAUCGGUUCAUCUCUGUUUGUGAUCAUUAGGACCGCUUCAAGCCGAGGGUUGUGAACGUUUACUACUGUAGUCUGUGCAGUUUAUAAAACAUCCAACAGGUUUCUAAAAGAAAUGUUAUAUUAGAGUCCACCUUGGAUCAGCUGAAUGUUGAUCGAGAGUGAAUUCAGAACUGCUUUGAUAUGAUAAUGAAUAAAUAGUUAGUUUCUAGUUCUGUUAAAA